rnacentral:rRNA from 1 species
CAACUUUCAACAACGGAUCUCUUGGCUCUUGCAUCGAUGAAGAACGCAGCGAAAUGCGAUAAGUAAUGUGAAUUGCAGAAUCCAGUGAAUCAUCGAAUCUUUGAACGCACCUUGCGCCCUUUGGUAUCCCGAGGGGCAUGCCUGUUUGAGAGUC